GAGUGGCGGCGUGCUACCAUGCAAGUUGAGCGGAGAUAUAUGGAGCUUGCUUUAUAUAACUUAGCAGCGAACGGGUGAGUAACACGUAGAUAAUCUAUCCUAUACUGGGGGAUAGCCCGAUGAAAGUUGGAUUAAUACCGCAUAUAGCUAUAUAGUUGCAUGAUUAUGUAGUGAAAGAUUUAUUGGUAUAGGAGGAGUCUGCGGCACAUUAGCUAGUAGGUGAGGUAAAGGCUUACCUAGGCGACGAUGUGUAGCCGGUCUGAGAGGAUGAACGGCCACAAUGGAACUGAGACACGGUCCAUACUCCUACGGGAGGCAGCAGUGGGGAAUAUUGCACAAUGGGGGAAACCCUGAUGCAGCAACGCCGCGUGAGUGAAGAAGGUUUUCGGAUUGUAAAGCUCUGUUAGCAGGGAAGAGGAAGGACGGUACCUGCAGAGGAAGCCACGGCUAACUACGUGCCAGCAGCCGCGGUAAUACGUAGGUGGCAAGCGUUGUUCGGAAUAACUGGGCGUAAAGGAUGCGUAGGCGGUUAAACAAGUUAUAUGUUAAAUAUAUAGGCUUAACCUGUAGAAAGCAUAUAAAACUGUUUAACUAGAGUGCAGGAGAGGUAAGUGGAAUUCCUAGUGUAGCGGUGAAAUGCGUAGAGAUUAGGAAGAACACCAGUGGCGAAG
rnacentral:rRNA from 1 species